AUGGUUUUCAAAGACUCAGAAAACGCACCAAGAGAUCUUCAGCAAAUCCGAUCGAAACGAUACCACGAUAAGAAACAGUCUAAUCUAGGUUCAAGUAACGUACCGGACCAGGUUUGGGAAGCCUUGGCAAUGGUCAAUAAGCAUGAAUUUGUAGCAGAAGUUGUUUAUACACGUGGAAAUAACAUGCCGCCGUCUAUAAUAUGCUACAGUCAAAUGCAAAUGGAAGACAUGAAACUGCAUUGCGAAAACGAUCCCGAUUCCAUACUUGGCAUUGAUAGAACAUUUAACCUAGGUCCUACAUAUGUAACAAACUUUGUGUACAAAAACAAGAAGGUUGUAAAAAAAUCAUCACGUGAUCAUCCUAUAUUUGUUGGUCCGGUAUUUUUUCACUGGGACGCCUCAUAUUAUACUUACCACUCAUUUCUGUCACAUGUGAAAGCACGUCUCGACGCCGAUGUAAAAUAUAUUGACAUACGUAUAGGCUCAGACGACGAGGGUGGUAUCACUAAAGCCAUUGAUAAAGUUUUCAACACUUCAGAAAGACUCUUGUGUACAAAACACAUGAAAGACAAUGUUACCGACCAUAUGAAAAAUAAAUUGCCCUUAACAAAAGAAGAACGAUCACAUAUUAUGUCGGACUUGUUUGGUGAUGAUGGUAUCGUGACAUCAAAUGACACUAUUGAUUUUAAUUUGAAAUCCGAAAACCUGUGCAAUAAAUACCCCAUCAUCACAGAUUAUUACACAAAGAGACUGAAAAACAGACUCUUUCACCACGUAAAUAGACCGCUAAAAAACUCUUCAAAUCCAGACCGAUUGUGGACAAACAACAAUUGUGAAAGCAUGAACCACAGAUUUAAAAUUGCAACAGACUGGAAGCCGCAGAUUCUGCCCUAA
rnacentral:sRNA from 1 species